CCAGUGCAGGACUACCGCAAUCAGCGAACAAUUUCAUCAUUUUUUCGCCACAGCUGGACAAAGGACUAUUCUUCAAACUAUCCAUAAAACUAUAAACAUUUAUAACCUCACGGCAAUCCACUAAUCCUUCCGGAAUCAAGAUUAAAGGCUGUUUUGACACACAGUGAACAAACAGAAGCUCGUGUCCACCCAAAAACGAAGCUUUCUUUCCAGGAAUAGUGCAAAAAUUCACCAUUUUACAAUUUUUUUCUAUAAAAUCUUUUUUGAAAUCUAUCGAAGCCUCGAGGUGUAAACACAGCGAAAGCCGAACGAACAAUAACGGCGCAGAACGAGAAAUCGAUAAUAUGUAAUAAACCGCGCCUGACCGCGUUGCAUGCCGGUAUAGUCCUCACUCCUCCUCUGGACGCACACCAAGGGCACCUUUACUGAAUUUUUUUUUUUCACUGCAAAUUUUUUUGGCGACCUCCAUCCCCCCCGUCGCCAAAAAAAUUUCGGUUAGUGUACCAUUUUAGGGGUCAAAAAUGUUUUCCGGAAAUACAAAAAUUUUCCGUGAAGCCAAAAAUUUUUCUGGAUAUCUUAAAUUUUCGCCAUUUC